UACGAAGGGUGCAAACGUUGCUCGGAAUCAUUGGGCGUAAAGCGCACGUAGGCGGCGCUGCAAGUCGGACGUGAAAUCCCUCGGCUCAACCGAGGACGUGCAUCCGAAACUGCAGUGCUCGAGUAUGGAAGAGGGUCGCGGAAUUCUCGGUGUAGAGGUGAAAUUCGUAGAUAUCGGGAGGAACACCAGUGGCGAAGGCGGCGACCUGGGCCAAUACUGACGCUGAGGUGCGAAAGCGUGGGGAGCGAUCCGG
rnacentral:rRNA from 1 species